rnacentral:misc_RNA from 1 species
GCUAGCUAGCAAACCUCUGAUAAUCCAAUAGGAAUCCCAAUAGUAAACUUCCCGGAAUCUGGCUCCUGGAACGACAACGGGCUCCGGCAACGGCAGCAGAGUGUGGGUAUCCGGCCGAUGAAUGAGAUCAUCGGAGACUCUACGGCUAAGAUUCUUCCAGAAAUUAUGAAUAUCCAAAGCCCAAGCUCUAACCUCCACAUUCUCAACUUUAGGCAAGAAACCAACAGGCUGAGGGACAAAAUCAACCGGCUCAGAGUAAACCAAGUCGGCUCCAGCACUAUCGAAAUAGUCAGUAAUGAAGGCCUUCAAAUUCUCGACGGAGACAGAGCCAUUGGAGGAUCGUUCAAGGGCAUCGAAAGCGGUUUGGGUAGAAUUCAAAUCGAAUUUCAGAGACAAAUCGACGUAGUAUUUAAGAUCGAAAUCCAAUUUACCGAAGGAGUUGAGGGCCACAACUUGA